rnacentral:misc_RNA from 1 species
AAUUUGGGUCAGAUGCCUCGUGUAAGUUCGCUUAUCAAGUGCACGCCCCUCCGUCCACGAGUAGAUAUUUUGUAUUGAAUAGUGUAAAACCCAGGAGCAAUAGUCAGAGAUUAUAUUAGAGGAUUUUAUACUUUAAACACACAACUUCCACCCUGUAGUUUUAGCUUGUAUAUGUGAGAAAUUAACAAGAAAAAAACGAGAUUUCAAAAAGAAUUCAAAUCUUCAAUUUUUCUGCACAAAACAGGGAAAGAGAAUGAACUAGAACAAAGCAGAUUUUAUUCAUUCCAGCACUACAAGCAUUUUGUUACAUGGGAGUACAUCCAAUGGGAAGCUUACAUACACACACAUAGACCAGCCAAACAACUAAACACAACAUUACAACAAAGUUAACAAACAAACAACAUAUUAAGUU